UCAGGAUGAACGCUGGCGGCGUGCCUAACACAUGCAAGUCGAACGAAGCACUGUCGAUGGAGAUUCGUCAAAAUUGACUUUGACUUAGUGGCGGACGGGUGAGUAAUGCGUGAGCAACCUGCCUUUCAGAGGGGGACAACAGUUGGAAACGACUGCUAAUACCGCAUAAUGUAUUUAGGAGGCAUCUCCCGGAUACCAAAGGAGCAAUCCGCUGAAAGAUGGGCUCACGUCUGAUUAGCUAGUUGGUGAGGUAACGGCUCACCAAGGCUGCGAUCAGUAGCCGGACUGAGAGGUUGAACGGCCACAUUGGGACUGAGAUACGGCCCAGACUCCUACGGGAGGCAGCAGUGGGGAAUAUUGGGCAAUGGGCGAAAGCCUCGACCCAGCAACGCCGCGUGAAGGAAGAAGGUCUUCGGAUUGUAAACUUCUUUUAUGAGGGACGAAGGACGUGACGGUACCUCAUGAAUAAGCCACGGCUAACUACGUGCCAGCAGCAGC
rnacentral:rRNA from 1 species